AAAGUUCCCUUUGCAUUCACUAAAAGGUAAAAACCCAAGCUCUGUGAUCGCUCGACAAAUCUUUGACUGGGAUGAAGGUGAAAGCAAAAACUUAUGCCACCCAACGUCGCAGAAUCCCAUGAUGUUUUAGACAAGAAAACAAUGUUUCGCGCCAGACAAACUUUGGCCCGAAUCAAACUCACUCUUCGGAGCAAGCAAUUUUGCAGCAGCACUACCAAACCCAACAACAAUAAUAACAAAAGCAUCAGUGAAAAAACAGAUUCAAAAGUGAGCAAAUACGAGGAGGCGAACAGGCAACUAGAUAAUCUUGACUUCAUGAAAGCUGCUAAGAUCCUCUUCAGUGACCCUCCAAAGAAAAAGAAAUUUGGGAUUGAUUUCCAUCUGGUACAACUCUUCUUCACCUGCUUGCCUUCACUGGCUGUAUAUUUGGUGGCUCAAUACGCUCGACAUGAAAUGAAAAAAAUGGAUGCGGAACUAGAGAUGAAAAAGAAAGAAGAAGAGGAGAAAGCAAAAGAGGAAGAACGAAAAGCUAUGGAAGAAAAAGCUCAGUCUGAGUCGGAGCUUCUAGAAGUGAAGGAGAGAAUAGGUAAACUAGAGGAGGUCGUUAAGGAAAUUGCGGUUGAAUCUAAGAAACAAUCAGGUGGCAGUGUAACAAAAACCCAGGUCCAGGAAGACAGUAGCAAGACAGUAAAACAGAAGUCUCUGGGACCAGCAUCAAUUCCUGAUUCUUCGCCACAGGAUCAGAAGGGCAAGACCCAAAAUGAAGGAACUUCCCCAGAUGCUAAGAGAUAGAAGCCUUGUUGCUAAGUUCUGUAGAAAGUGGAAGAGCUCAUUUUUUGACAAAGCAUGCGCCUGACACACAGGUCCUGAUGAUCCUAAUGAUGACAGUUCAUCUCCCUCGUCGGCUAUUCGGUACCAUGUGAAAUGGUCAAUGUGGAGGAGGAUGAAAUGCGCCUGGAUUUGACUAGGGUCAGAUGCGGAGGAGAGCAAGGAGUUCACCUAGCCCAGGCCGAGAGCGGGAGCGAGAAGGUAAAGCCCUUCCAACAAAUGCAUUUUCAGGGGCAGUCUUGGACUGAUCAAGAUGAAUGAAUCAUAUCAGAACAACUCUCAUAUAAUUUAAUGUUAAACCUGGUCUAAGUUAGAAGUCAAGGUGAGAGUUUUUUCUUAUCAAUUUCAUCAUUCUUUUUCUCAGUUUCAUCAUCAUAUUUUUUUUACCAACCAACUAGGCUGUCUUUGAACUAAUCAAAUUGAUUGAAAUGUUAGGACAACUUCAACUUAAUUUAAUUUUAAACUCGGGUUAGAUAAAAAGUUGAGCUAAAAGGUUUUUAUAUAUAUCAUCCCCUUUUCUCAAUUUCAUUUUUAAUUAUUUUUUUUAUGAAUUAGCCAAAA